rnacentral:rRNA from 1 species
UACAGAGGGUGCGAGCGUUGUCCGGAAUCACUGGGCGUAAAGGGCGCGUAGGCGGUUUAGUAAGUCAGAUGUGAAAGCCCGGGGCUCAACUCCGGAAUUGCAUUUGAAACUGCUAGGCUAGAGUGCAGUAGAGGAUGGCGGAAUACCCAGUGGAGAGGUGAAAUUCGUAGAUAUUGGGAAGAACACCGGUGGCGAAGGCGGCUAUCUGGACCGACAUUGACGCUGAGGCGCGAAAAGCGUGGGGAGCAAACAGG